rnacentral:rRNA from 1 species
AACGAACGCUGGCGGCAUGCCUAACACAUGCAAGUCGAACGAGACCUUCGGGUCUAGUGGCGCACGGGUGCGUAACGCGUGGGAAUCUGCCCUUGGGUUCGGGAUAACAGUUGGAAACGACUGCUAAUACCGGAUGAUGACUUCGGUCCAAAGAUUUAUCGCCCAGGGAUGAGCCCGCGUCGGAUUAGCUAGUUGGUGAGGUAAGAGCUCACCAAGGCGACGAUCCGUAGCUGGUCUGAGAGGAUGAUCAGCCACACUGGGACUGAGACACGGCCCAGACUCCUACGGGAGGCAGCAGUGGGGAAUAUUGGACAAUGGGCGAAAGCCUGAUCCAGCAAUGCCGCGUGAGUGAUGAAGGCCUUAGGGUUGUAAAGCUCUUUUACCCGGGAUGAUAAUGACAGAACCGGGAGAAUAAGCCCCGGCUAACUCCGU